CAGCCAACGGCAGCACAACCAAACUCCCAGCGUCCAGAUCAGAGCCAACAACGAAUUCAUCGCGUCCAAGGAUCAAGGAACAGAGCCGGGAUCUUCUUAACCGCAUCUCGCUUCAUUUCAUCCUUAUCCCCUGCGUGAUAACAGAGGCUGUGAAGGCUAUAAAAGGGAAUCAAUGCAUGCAGGCUAGAGGCAUUCCUCCUCUUCCCCAC
rnacentral:lncRNA from 1 species